CGCACAUUGCGCCCUCUGGUAUUCCGGAGGGCAUGCCUGUUCGAGCGUCAUAAUAACCAACUCACCCCCGUGGUGGACUUGGAGCUGGCCGGCCUGGCCUCUCUUAAAAUCAGUGGCGGUGCUCUUCAGCUCUACGCGUAGUAAUUUUUCUCGCGACAGGGUCUCGAUUGGACUUGCCAACAACCCCCAACUAUCAUAAGGUUGACCUCGGAUCAGGUAGGGAUACCCGCUGAACUUAA
rnacentral:misc_RNA from 1 species